rnacentral:misc_RNA from 1 species
GAUGAAGAACGCAGCGAAAUGCGAUAAGUAAUGUGAAUUGCAGAAUUCAGUGAAUCAUCGAAUCUUUGAACGCACAUUGCGCCCGCUGGAAUUCCAGCGGGCAUGCCUGUUCGAGCGUCAUUUCACCCCUCAAGCCUUGCUUGGUGUUGGAGCACUACCGUUUGUAUAAAGCGGUAGGCUCUGAAAUUCAGUGGCGGGCUCGCUAAGACUCUGAGCGUAGUAGUUUAUCACCUCGCUUUGGAAGGAUUAGCGGUGCUCUUGCCGUAAAACCCCCCAACUUCUGAAUUUUGACCUCGGAUCAGGUAGGAAUACCCGCUGAACUUAAGCAUAUCAAUAAGCGGAGA